GGGGAUUUAGUUCAGUGGUAGAGCGCUUGCCUAGCAAGCACAAAGCCCUGGGUUCGGUCCCCAGCUCCG
rnacentral:tRNA from 1 species